AACGAACGCUGGCGGCAGGCUUAACACAUGCAAGUCGAACGCCCCGCAAGGGGAGUGGCAGACGGGUGAGUAACGCGUGGGAAUCUACCCAUCUCUGCGGAAUAGCUCUGGGAAACUGGAAUUAAUACCGCAUACGCCCUACGGGGAAAGAUUUAUCGGGAUGGAUGAGCCCGCGUUGGAUUAGCUAGUUGGUGGGGUAAAGGCCUACCAAGGCGACGAUCCAUAGCUGGUCUGAGAGGAUGAUCAGCCACAUUGGGACUGAGACACGGCCCAAACUCCUACGGGAGGCAGCAGUGGGGAAUAUUGGACAAUGGCGCAAGCCUGAUCCAGCCAUGCCGCGUGAGUGAUGAAGGCCUUAGGGUGUAAGCUCUUUCACCGAUGAAGAUAAUGACGGUAGUCGGAGAAGAAGCCCCGGUAAC
rnacentral:rRNA from 1 species